rnacentral:misc_RNA from 1 species
UGACGAUAGAUAGUAGACUUGGAGGAAAAGGUUUUAUCUUCGACGCUGGGUAACACUUCCUCCAUCUUUGGAAUUGAAUCAAUAGUAGGAGAAGGGGGCAAGUAACUGAUUAAGGAAAGACAUGAGUUUCAAUUUGCCAAGGAAGUUAUCGAAAGGUGAGACCAGUUGAAUAUCGUCACUAUCCAUAGUUACAUACAAGUAUAUAUAACAUAGAAAGAGAAAAACUCGCCUCCAAUGAUGAGAAAUUUAUAGUGUGAGCUUUACUUUAUAAAGCUAGUUUAUUCGCUAAUAGAGCUUUUUCUCUCAUAUAGUAAGUAGUCUACAAGGGCGCCAAGGGAAAGAAAGCAGUGCUUAUAGAGUUGGACAAUUCUCCUAAAAAACUAAAAAAGGAGUAAAAAAAGAAAGACCGUAGCUCUACG